rnacentral:rRNA from 1 species
UACGUAGGUGACAAGCGUUAUCCGGAUUUAUUGGGCGUAAAGCGCACGCAGGCGGUCUAUCAAGUCUGACGUGAAAUCUCUCGGCUUAACCGGGAGCGGUCGUUGGAAACUGAAAGACUUGAGUGCAGAAGAGGAGAGUGGAAUUCCACGUGUAGCGGUGAAAUGCGUAGAUAUGUGGAGGAACACCAGUGGCGAAGGCGACUCUCUGGUCUGUAACUGACGCUGAGGCGCGAAAGCGUGGGGAGCAAACAGG